rnacentral:rRNA from 1 species
CCAUUAAACGCAUCGGAAGAAAGGGCCGGGCAAGACCGGUGCCAGCCGCCGCGGUAAUACCGGCGGCUCGAGUGGUGGCCACUUUUAUUGGGCUUAAAGCGUUCGUAGCUUGAAUAAUAAGUCUCUUGGGAAAUCUGCCGGCUUAACCUGCAGGCGUUUAAGAGAAACUGUUGUUCUAGGAACCGGAAGAGGUGAGAGGUACUCCGGGGGUAGGAGUGAAAUCCUGUAAUCCCCGGGGGACCACCGAUGGCGAAGGCAUCUCACCAGGACGGCUUCGACAGUGAGGAACGAAAGCUGGGGGAGCGAACCGGAUUAGAUACCCGGGUAGUCCCAGCCGUAAACAAUGCGCGUUAGGUG